UACGGGGGGGGCAAGCGUUGUUCGGAAUUACUGGGCGUAAAGGGCUCGUAGGCGGCCAACUAAGUCGGAUGUGAAAUCCCCAGGCUCAACCUGGGAACUGCAUCCGAUACUGGAUGGCUUGAAUCCGGGAGAGGGAUGCAGAAUUCCAGGUGUAGCGGUGAAAUGCGUAGAUAUCUGGAGGAAUACCGGUGGCGAAGGCGGCAUCCUGGACCGGCAUUGACGCUGAGGAGCGAAGGCUAGGGGAGCAAACGGG
rnacentral:rRNA from 1 species